AAUUAAGUCUAAGACNAGGAAGCCAGGGAAGGAAAUAAUGAGGGCUAGAGAAAGAUAGCAGUUAAAUUUAAGAGUUAGUAUUUGAACUGAGCCUAGAGGGGAACUAGAUGAUUCCAAGAGGUAGACCAGAAGAGAGUUUUCUAAACUUUUAUAAAGAUAUUUAGGCCAGAGAAGGAAUGUCAGAGUAAAGAGAAUAGCAAAAAAGUGAAUUUGGAUUAGAACAUACUGUGCAAGAGAGGAAAUCAUCUAUAAUUAGUUUGGAAAGAGGCUAGAGUCAGAUUAAAUACUAGAGGAAUUGGUAUUUUAUUCUAAAGGCAAUGGCAACCACUGAUACUUCUUGAACAGGAGUGGCAUGGUUUGGCCUGUACUUUAGGAAAAUCAGUUUGACAGGAUGGAUUAGAAAGGGAAAAAAACUACCUGCAAGGAAGCUAAUUAGAAGGCUAUUUCAGAAGUCCAAGUGGAAGCUGAUAAUGUGAUGAUGUACUCUGAAUAGACAGAAGAAAGAUACAAGGAAUGUUGAGGAAGAUGAGAAGAAUCAUAGGUGCUCUCCAAGCAACCAUGGUUUUGUGGGUUCUACCAUGUACAUUUAGUCUUCAGAUUUCCAAGAAUUUUAUCACACUUGCAAGAGCCUUUCUGUUUCCCUCUCCUAUACCUUACAAAAUGGUGUGAAGAAAGAAGAAAAGAGGAUACUUUCAACCAUCUUCUAGCAAUUAUGCUUACUAUAUUCUCUCCCCAAUUAAAGACUUUUUAAAAAAGAUAUUUUAUUUUACUAAUUAUAUGUAAUAACAAUUUUUUCAACAUAAAUUUUCUGAAGUUAUAAGAUCCAAAUUGUUUUCUUCCCCUUCCCUCCCCCUUUCUGAAGCUGGUUAGCAAUUUGAUCUGGAUUAUACAUGCAUUAUCAUGAAAAACCUAUUUCUAUAUUGUUCAUUGUUGUAAGACAAUAAUCAUAUAAAACAAAAACAAAAACCAAAAUAAACUAAAGCAAAAAAUAGGAUGCUUUGAGCUG
rnacentral:lncRNA from 1 species